AGAGUUUGAUCCUGGCUCAGAAUGAACGCUGGCGGCGUGCUUAACACAUGCAAGUCGUGCGCGAAGGCGGCUUCGGCUGCCGGAGAGCGGCGAACGGGUGAGUAACACGUGGGUAAUCUACCUGGGAGUGGGGGAUAACCUGGGGAAACCCGGGCUAACACCGCAUACGAUGCUGGGACUUUGGUCCUGGUCUGAAAGCUGGCCUCUGCUUGCAAGCUAGCGCUCCCAGAGGAGCCCGCGGCUGAUUAGCUGGUUGGUGGGGUAAUGGCCUACCAAGGCGACGAUCAGUAGCCGGCCUGAGAGGGUGAUCGGCCACACUGGAACUGAGACACGGUCCAGACUCCUACGGGAGGCAGCAGUGGGGAAUAUUGGACAAUGGGCGCAAGCCUGAUCCAGCAACGCCGCGUGGAGGACGAAGGUCUUCGGAUCGUAAACUCCUGUCAGGUGGGACGAAGGUAAGUGGGUGAAUAAUCCGCUUGCUUGACGGUACUACCAGAGGAAGCCCCGGCUAACUCCGUGCCAGCAGCCGCGGUAAUACGGAGGGGGCGAGCGUUAUUCGGAAUUAUUGGGCGUAAAGGGCGCGUAGGCGGCUUGAUAAGUCAAAGGUGAAAUCCCUCGGCUCAACUGAGGAACUGCCUUUGAAACUGUCUGGCUUGAGGCCGGGAGGGGGUAGCGGAAUUCCCAGUGUAGCGGUGAAAUGCGUAGAUACUGGGAGGAACACCGGUGGCGAAGGCGGCUACCUGGACCGGUUCUGACGCUGAUGCGCGAAAGCGUGGGUAGCAAACAGGAUUAGAUACCCUGGUAGUCC
rnacentral:rRNA from 1 species